AAUCAACGCUGGCGGCGUGCCUAACACAUGCAAGUCGAACGCGAAAGGGGAGCAAUCCCUGAGUAGAGUGGCAAACGGGUGAGUAACGCGUGGGUGACCUGCCCUCGAGUGGGGGAUAACGUCUCGAAAGGGGCGCUAAUACCGCAUCACAUUCCGAGGUUGAACACUUGGUAAUCAAAGCUGGGGACCGCAAGACCUGGCGCUUGAGGAGGGGCCCGCGUCCGAUUAGCUAGUUGGUGGGGUAACGGCCUACCAAGGCGACGAUCGGUAUCCGGCCUGAGAGGGCGGACGGACACACUGGGACUGAAACACGGCCCAGACUCCUACGGGAGGCAGCAGUGGGGAAUUGUUCGCAAUGGGCGCAAGCCUGACGACGCAACGCCGCGUGGAGGAUGAAGGUCUUCGGAUUGUAAACUCCUGUUGCCAGGGACGAAUGACUCGCGACCUAACACGUCGUGGGAAUGACGGUACCUGGUGAGGAAGCCCCGGCUAACUCUGUGCCAGCCGCCGCGGUAA
rnacentral:rRNA from 1 species